GCUUAACUAUGAAACUGCCAUUGAUACUGCAGGUCUUGAGUAAAGUAGAAGUGGCUGGAAUAAGUAGUGUAGCGGUGAAAUGCAUAGAUAUUACUUAGAACACCAAUUGCGAAGGCAGGUCACUAUGUUUUAACUGACGCUGAUGGACGAAAGCGUGGGGAGCGAACAGGAUUAGAUACCCUGGUAGUCCACGCCGUAAACGAUGCUAACUCGUUUUUGGGGCUUCGGCUUCAGAGACUAAGCGAAAGUGAUAAGUUAGCCACCUGGGGAGUACGUUCGCAAGAAUGAAACUCAAAGGAAUUGACGGGGGCCCGCACAAGCGGUGGAUUAUGUGGUUUAAUUCGAUGAUACGCGAGGAACCUUACCAAGGCUUAAAUGGGAAUUGACAGGUUUAGAAAUAGACUUUUCUUCGGACAAUUUUCAAGGUGCUGCAUGGUUGUCGUCAGCUCGUGCCGUGAGGUGUUAGGUUAAGUCCUGCAACGAGCGCAACCCCUGUCACUAGUUGCCAUCAUUCAGUUGGGGACUCUAGUGAGACUGCCUACGCAAGUAGAGAGGAAGGUGGGGAUGACGUCAAAUCAUCACGGCCCUUACGCCUUGGGCCACACACGUAAUACAAUGGCCGGUACAGAG
rnacentral:rRNA from 1 species